rnacentral:lncRNA from 1 species
CGCCGCACCAGCAGCCGUCCCCCUACCCGCCGCCGCACGCCAUGCCGGGGCGCCGGCGGGUACAAGUCAUCGUCGAUGCAAGCGACGCCCGUGUACAACAGCCCCAACGAGUCCCCCUCGCACCCGUCCUACGGCCGCCACUCCCGGGCCUCCUCCGUCAGCCGCUUCUCCGGCAUCCUCCGCGGCGGCAGCGGGCGCAAGGGCGGCGG